GCAUGGACAAAUUCUGUGUUAGUCAGUAGUAGAUGCAUUCAGACAACAUGCAAAAGCAUCCUUUCACUUCUUUACUAAGGUGAGUGCUGUCUUGUGCCUCACCUACUGCAUGGAGAAGUUAAUACAAGU